UGGGGAAUUUUGGACAAUGGGCGAAAGCCUGAUCCAGCAAUGCCGCGUGUGUGAAGAAGGCCUUCGGGUUGUAAAGCACUUUUGUCCGGAAAGAAAUCCUUGGCUCUAAUACAGUCGGGGGAUGACGGUACCGGAAGAAUAAGCACCGGCUAACUACGUGCCAGCAGCCGCGGUAAUACGUAGGGUGCAAGCGUUAAUCGGAAUUACUGGGCGUAAAGCGUGCGCAGGCGGUUUGCUAAGACCGAUGUGAAAUCCCCGGGCUCAACCUGGGAACUGCAUUGGUGACUGGCAGGCUAGAGUAUGGCUGAGGGGGGUAGAAUUCCACGUGUAGCAGUGAAAUGCGUAGAGAUGUGGAGGAAUACCGAUGGCGAAGGCAGCCCCCUGGGCCAAUACUGACGCUCAUGCACGAAAGCGUGGGGAGCAAACAGGAUUAGAUACCCUGGUAGUCCACGCCCUAAACGAUGUCAACUAGUUGUUGGGGAUUCAUUUCCUUAGUAACGUAGCUAACGCGUGAAGUUGACCGCCUGGGGAGUACGGUCGCAAGAUUAAAACUUAAAUGAAUUGACGGGGUCAUAGCUGUUUCCU
rnacentral:rRNA from 1 species